GCGGGCGUAGCUCAGCGGUAGAGCGGCUGAUUGCCAUUCAGCAGGUCGCGAGUUCAAAUCUCGUCGCCCGCUCCA
rnacentral:tRNA from 1 species